GAUGAAGAACGUAGCAAAAUGCGAUAAGUAAUGUGAAUUGCAGAAUUCAGUGAAUCAUCGAAUCUUUGAACGCACAUUGCGCCCGCCAGUAUUCUGGCGGGCAUGCCUGUUCGAGCGUCAUUUCAACCCUCAAGCACAGCUUGGUGUUGGGAAUCGCGUUAAUUCGCGUUCCCCAAAUUGAUUGGCGGUCACGUCGAGCUUCCAUAGCGUAGUAGUAAAACCCUCGUUACUGGUAAUCGUCGCGGCCACGCCGUUAAACCCCAACUUCUGAAUGUUGACCUCGGAUCAGGUAGGAAUACCCGCUGAACUUAAGCAUAUCAAUAAGCGGAGGA
rnacentral:misc_RNA from 1 species